GGGCCCUGGAAACCUGCUCCCUCCCACUGGCCCCUGGGCAAGGAAGGGCAGGCAUCUUUAAGGGGCUGCAGGCCCCCUGUGCCUCUCUUUGGCUGCUUGCUCCAGAACUGAACAGCCUGCACUAACUUCCUGGAAAAGUGCCAAACUGAAUGGGCCGAGUUCUACCCUUAGUGUUGCCUGCUCCCCAAGGCAGGAAUGCUUUCUGUAUCUCCUACGCCUCUGCAGCUUAGGAGAAUGCAGUACUCAGACUUAAAUUGCCUUUUAGGCAAAAUGACUCACUUUAAGACAGGAAGUUCUGUGUUCUACUCUGUUGGAUUUUCAAGAGGCCCCGACGCCACCACCUUACAGCAUCAUCAGCUGUGAUGGAAUACCAAGUGCUGGUCCCACCAGUCAGUGAAGAGAACACCACGGGUUCUAGAACCACUGUGUUACAAAUAGGAAACCGACCUUAGAGAAACACAUUUCCAUGGACUCGAUCAGCUUGUAGUGAAACUGUAAGAGAAGCAAAGACUGCAAAGGAGUUGGAAGAAAUAAAGAGCCCUUUCCAACCUUUUGAAACGCCUGCAACAAUAAUGAACAUAUAAUGCACAGGCAAUAACCCUUCAGUCAAAAAGAAAGACAAACAGAAAAGAGAGCCUUGCAUAGAAACUUGGGUGAUUCUACACUUUAAAUAAUAAGGUGUUGUGUUCAGAGAUAGGGCUCUAAGUUGUUGGGGGACGUGAACGGCCGCAGGGAGUGAAGGAUGAGGUCAACACUGAAUCCUCUGUAGCAGAGGAUCGUAUUUACUCCGCUGCCUUCCGACCUUGUUGCUCUUUCCUGUAAGUCGAGUCUGCCCCCUCGUGGUGAAAGUGAGAGGCUGCGCUCACUUCCCAGGACGCCUUCCUCUUCUAGGUCAGUGAGAGGGUAUUGGGAGCAACUGGUCCCUUCACCACCAUCCUGUCCUUGAGCUGCUUUUCAUUGCUUCUCCCCCCUCUGUUCUCUGUUCCCCUUUUCUUCUCUUACUGCUUCCUUUUGUCUCCUUCCCUCCCCUUGCAUUCCAGAGCCAUCCACAAUAUUAUUUACCAGCCCAGGCAUGAGAGCUAAAAUUGCUGCAGACCCUCUGCCUAGGGAGAGGAUCUGAACUCUGAUUUAAGGAAUUCAGACAAUUUCAAUAAAUCAUUAAAUAACCGUCACCCCAAAGAGUAAUACCAUGUCAUCAAGAGCUAAACAGACACUGAACAGGAAAUUGGGAGACAUGGAUUUCUCUGGCCUUAGCCUUAUCCCUGGAAUAUGAUAUGGAUGUAACGUGUGUAUGAAAACCAAGAAACCUGGACAUAAGCACAACUUAAUAGAGAAGCAGGAAGCAGGAAGAUAAAGGGGGUUUCUCUGCCCUCAGCACAGAAAAGCAAAAGGGCACACAACUGUCAUAUCCACCCGCUCCUCAGCAAACCACUCCAAACACACAAUCUAAGUAAACGAAAGCAAUGUUCACUAUGUAAAGGCAGCCUCAAGAUAAAGCUUCUUGUUCCCCUCAUGGACCUGUUCCAAUCAGCCUGACACCCAUGGGGCCAUCCUGAGCAACCAAUCCAUCUGGAGUAUCAUUUCCAUCCUAUUUCUAUCCAUUUUCUACACAGAAAUUUUUAAAAAUUACAUUUCUUCAAAUAUACCUUCAAAGGUAUGAACCUUCGAAGGUAUAUUGCCUUCAUUGUCUGUGCCUUGUACAUUCAGAAUCUCUCUCUCUCUCUCUCAUACACACACACCCACACACCCUCAAGUCCUCUACUCUAGCCACACUUCUCUCCUGGGUUUCCCCCCACAGCCCUCUCUUUCUCUCCUCCAUGUUUUUUCAUUUGCUCUUUUCCAGCUUAGAUUGUUCUGACUCAAGGCUCACGGCCUUUUGUGAAGUUUGCAUCAGUGCAAGGCCCUUUUUAUUUUAUAAAACUGCAUUAGUGCACAGAACAGGACAUGUCACCCAGGGAGAUGUAAGUUGAGGGCACUUCCAUACCCAUAGAAAAGUCUCAUGUUGAGGUAAAAUAUAUAUAUUUUAAAACAACUGUAAUUUAUGCAGCUAUUAAUCUUCCAAGGCAAGUGGUAGGGUACGGUGAAAUGUUCAUAAGCUAACAAGAAAAAACUCAGGUGGCUUAUGCCAUUGCCAGAAUCCUGAGAUGGAAUUACAGCCCCAUAACUCAAAGUUGCCAGCUCUUUCCAUUCCCUAAUGGAGGUUCUGAAGGACGGGACUCCUGUUCACUUUCCCUGUUUACUCUCUAGCUUCUGCUCUUCUUCCAAGAAGCCCCCUACAUACUUCCUGAUCUACCUCGGAGGCAAAAAGUGUGACAGUUAUUAAGCUGCUUCUUUGUUGAAGAAAUGCAGAAAGAGGUCUCUGUAACCUCCCAAUCCAAGGACUUGGGAUAGGAUCAUGUGGCAAAACCUCUCUCACAGCAGAUAUGAAUACAAUAGAAUGCCCACCUGGUGCCUCCAGAUCUAGCCAGCAUUGACCACUCCCAGGAGCAAUAAUACACGGUGCACAAAGCACUCACAGGUGAGGGAAGACCUAAAUACCACUCAAGGAUUACACUAAAUGCCAGUUAUUCAUCUUUGGUUAUUUCUCUAAGGGUAGUCGCCAGCCCCCUGCAUCAGAAUCACCAAGCAUGCUUUGUCCUUCCCUCUGCCCAACUUUAGACCUGCUACACCAGGUGGAUGAGGCCUACUGAGGGUCACCCAGGGAGUCCCACACCCUGAUUUUAUGAAAGGGAAACCGCUCCACAGAAAUGACAAGAGUUCCAAAUGGAGACAAGACUGGAUUUUCUGACUCUCCAUCCAGCACAUCACACUGCCUUAAAGUCAGUUUCCAAACGCCCCUAAAGAUGGCUUUGAGAGUUUCAUAGUCCUUCGGGACGUACCUGUCACCCACAAAGCCCAUUAACAAUUUCUGGGAAAUAAAAAUAGAAUCUGGAUAAUAAACUAAAAUCUAACCUUUUUUUUUUUUUCCCUUUGUGCUUCAUCUAAUUUCACUUGCUCACUGGGCGCCUGGGGCAAAGGCCUCACACCUGGCCCUUCAGACCAGAGCUCCAAGUGAAGAACCGCCGUGCUGACACCUCAGCUUGGGGACCGUGUGCAGAAGCAUCACGUAUAGAAAGAUGAGAUUCAGGAUGGCGGCAGUGCCCCUCGUGCAGAGGGGCUGCACCCGGCACUGAGGUCUGAAGCCUGAGCAGCCCAGCUGCACCUGCCCCGGGAGAGAUCCGCCCCCUCCUUGAAGAGCCCCGCGGAAACCCUGUAAAGCAGCCUCGCCCAUGGCCCGGCGGGAGGGUGGCUGCCCUAGAGCCCAAGCUGGCCCCUCUGCAUUUCUCAAAGCAUAAAGCUUCACUCCGCUCCUGAACCAAACGCGGUCUCAUUCUACUGGCUCAAAGAACAACAGGCAGGAGAACCCUUGUUGCGUGCUCGCAUGCUCAGUCAUGUCUGACUGGUGACAACGCCUCUGUUUAUGGAAUUUUCCAGGCAAGAAUCCUGGAAUGGGUUGCUAUUUCCUUCUCCAGGGGAUCUUCCUGACCCAGGGAUCGAAGCUGCAUCUCCUGUGUCUCCUUCAUUGCAGGUGGGUUCUUUACUGCUGAGCCCCCAGGGAGGCCUGAAUCUUUGUUGAGACCUGAUUCGAAAGGAUCAGCAACAAGCCCUUGUGACCUGGCCCAAUACCUUGCUUUCACCCAUUCCCCUCACCUCUGUGCCUUUGACCAAACUAUCCUCUCCAGAGUUUUUCCUAGAAGGCAUUUCUUUUCAUGUGAAAAAUAUCUUGCAGGAGUGACAUCAUACACCCAGAUGCUGAAUGAACAGAACCCAGACCCUGUUUUGCUGACCCUUAUCCAAGAAGACUAGUGUUCUCUCUAGAAUUUGAUGCCAUGUUGACAUUUGGCUGCCAACUCACUGCUGAAAGCCUUUCAUGUGGAAAAAUACAUAUUCCAAAUCGGGGUGAUGGAUGAGUUGUUAAACUGUCAUAUCGUCUGUUCCAUACUAAGCUAGGUUCUCACUAGGACUAUGGAAAGAGAUGGGAAGGGUGGAAAGAGAUCUUAAAGUCAUGACUGAUUCUUCCAAAUAUAUGGACAAGAAUGCCAACAGGGCAUGUUGUAAUAUGUUCAAGGAAGUUUUCUAAAUCUAUAUUUCAAAAAGCUGAGCUCAAGCUGUUGACCUUUCAGCUACAUCAGAGCACUGAAAUGGGCUCUGUGGAUAGCUUUUGUGCGUGAAUUGCAUACUAGUGUCCUCAGCCUCAGAACUCCCUUGAAUUCUGAGAAGCGCUAAUUGAAAUGCAAUGCACAUUUUCUUUAGCCUGAGCCUGAGAGAGGAAUGUGAGCACUGGACAAUGCUGUCAGAUAAAUAUGAUGCACAGUAGCAACAAUGGUCAUGUGUAACCAGCCUAGUGAGUUUGCAAACCAAAUCUGAGAGCAUUUGGUGGCUCGAUUAAUUUGCUUUGCCCAUCCACCAUCUGUUGUUGACUCCAGGAGGCCAGUGUGGGCAGCCCUGCUUGUUUCUGCUGACUUAGGCCAGCUGGAAACUGUCCUUCUAGAGGGAUUGGAGGGUGGGGUCUGCAAAAGAACAGAGGUGCUUGGUCCCUGCUCUGAUCUCACUCUGUAACUGGGAAAUCAGGUUUUAUAUAAGUACCUCCUUCUGUGUGCUUCAAAACUACUUUUAUAUCCCUUACCUCUGUUUAAAAAUUGUGUAAACUCACAGGUCCACCUGUUUUAUAUUCUCCCUUGCUGAUGACUGAGGAGAGAAAUGAGGUCACCUGGUCACAAUCAGGCAAUUGUUUCUUUUGAGUUGAGCUGUAAAACAUCACAUUUGAAUUUUGCUUUAUUUUCAGACUGAAAUAGUUCAUUCUUUCCAUAGCAAAGCUUUUCAUAACUUGGAGUGCAGUGCCCUAGAUAAGCCAGGUUUGCUUUCUGAAUUAGGUAAUGAAAGUAUUGCUCAUCUUUCCCUUGUUCUGCUCCCCCAAACCUAUACACUUCACUUGCCUCAUUCAUUCUUCAAUAGAAAUGAAACUAGUGCUUCAUGUAAAACGGGCUGCAGCUGCUGCUGCUGCUGCUGCUGCUGCUAAGUUGCUUCAGUCGUGUCUGACUCUGUGCGACCCCAUAGACGGCAGCUCACCAGGCUCCCCCGUCCCUGGGAUUCUCCAGGCAAGAACACCGGAGUGGGUUGCCAUUUCCUUCUCCAAUGCAUGAAAGUGAAAAGUGAAAGUGAAGUCGCUCAGUUGUGUCCAACUCUUAGCGACCCCAUGGAUUGCAGCCUACCAGGUUCCUCUGUCCAUGAGAUUUUCCAGGUAAGAAUGCUGGAGUGGGGUGCCAUUGCCUUCUCCGACAAGAGGGGCAGUGAACUAAAUACUGGGGAUUCAGAAGUGAAAGCACAGGCCUUGGUUCUUAAGGCACUCACAGGCUAGUGCAAGAAGAUAAAUAAAGCUAUGCUACAAAUAUUAUGAUAGAGAUUUACACAGGGUACUCAUGGCAAAGAUUUAUAGCUGCCCACCAAAAUCGAUUCCACUCUUCUUCCCCAGUAAUAGAAUUUUAGCUGAGUGUAGAGCCAGCUCCCCACCCCCCAGAAUUCUGUCCUGAGCAACUAAGCACAGUAACAUGACUGAGGUCUCCCCAUCAAAAAUACAAGUUGGAAGUGAUGUGUGUCACUUCCACAGCUAGGCCUUACAUGUGCUCUACACUUUCUUACCAUUUAUUUCUCAUGAACUGGGACAUGGAUUUAUCUGCAAAUUCAAUUCAGCUAUGUAGAACAAAACAGUGGGGUGAGGAGAAACAAGAUAGGAGGAACCCUGAAUGACUGCACAAAGCAAAUGGACCCGCUCAUCCAUCCUGACUGUUCUGUGAAUGAGAAAAAAACAACAACAAAAACCAUCUUGGGACUUCCCUUAAGUGGUUAAGACUUCGCCCUCCAAAGCAGGAAGUGUAGAUGUGAUCUCUGAUUAAGGAAUUAAGAUCCCACAUGCUCUGGGGCCAUAAAACCAAAACACAAAACAGAAACAAUAUUGUAACAAAUUCAAAGAGACUUUAAAAACCACCUACAUCAAAAAAUCUUUGUCCGAUAAGCCCCUGUUUAGUAGGGCCUCUUUCUUACGACGGGCUUCCCUUGUGGCUCAGCUGGUAAAGAAUCCACCUGCAAUCCGGGAGACCUGGGUUCAGUCCCUGGGUUGGAAGAUCCCCUGGAGAAGAGAAUGGCUACCCACUCCAGUAUUCUGGCCUGGAGUAUUCCAUGGACUAUAUGGUCCAUGGAGUCGCAAAGAGUUGGACACAACUGAGCAACUUUCACUUCACUUCACUUUCUUAGGACAGCUUAGCUUUCACUCUAAGCAAUACAGCUCUGUGCUCUGUACCCGUAGGACUGAAAUGCUGUCUGUAAUGGGAGUAAACAAUUCAUCUGAGAUUACAUCACACUUUGAGUCAAUCCACUUUCCCAGCACCUACACAGGCUCAUAACUGCUUAUGAAGGCUGACUACAGACGCACUAGUCUAAAAACAACAGACACACUGAGUGUUAAGGGGUCAGAGCCAGAAGCAAUAUUUGAAAUGACCUAGAAAGCACUGUGUGGUGGAAAGGGUCUGAGUAGCAGCAUCAGAAAAAUCUGGAUUUGAAUCCUAGAUCUGCUUUUCACUGCCUAUGAUCCCUGGGCAAGAAUCUUAAGGCCUUUAAUCCUUAAAGAAAAUUUCCAAAUAAUAAUAAAAUAGAGGAGAAGCAAAGGAGUAUCUGUCUUGCAGCAUGGUUGAGGAAUUAUAAUAGACAUAAGCCAAGCCCAGUGUUGGGGAACACAAUAGCUUUCUAUAGGUGAUUAUUAUUAUUAUUAGCAUUUUGCAGACCCUGUGAGAAAAGAACUAAAUACUCUCCCACUGCAAAGAGAGAGGUCAUCCUUUCCUGCACUCACUAAGCCUGCUACUGGAAUUUGCCUGUGCUAAAAAAAAUGGAGAAUUUUAUUUCCUCACCAAGACAGAAGCAUAUUUUGCUUUGAAUCUUCCUGUACCCCUCUUCAAAUCUAGAAUUGUGGACCAAGAUAACUUAUACCAAGAGAGCAAAUACAGUUAAUAAAAGCAGAGGAGAAGAGAUCUGACUCCUACGUUAAAUUUAUUUUAGUGCCAGAUUUUGCGUCACUUUUUCCUGGAAGCCUGUUUCACUGGAUUUUAAAUGUGGCAAAAGCAGAAACCAAGCCUCAUUCAUGCCAUCCUCCCUCAACUUAAAACAUUUCACACCCUGGCAUGCAUUCUGCAAGCAUUCAAUAAAUACUAAAUGAGUCAUAUAACUUUAGACCCAUAAAAGUCUUUAGAGAUUAUCCAGUCUUGCUCUCAUCUUUCAGAUCAAUUUCUUCACCCACUCAUUCAGUCAAUAUAUAUUUAUCAGGCACUAUAAUGUGCUGACAAAUGGGGCUGCACAAGAGAUGUGGACUGUGACAUCACAAUUGGGUAAAAAGACUUGUUCAAAGUCAAGCUAUUAGAAUUAGGAAUAGCAUGUAGGUCUUCCAAUGGCACUGGUCUUUUUGUAGAGUCUUGAGCAUACUAAGAUCUUGCUCAGCAGGGCCCUUGGCUCUCUGAGUUCCCCACUGCCCCCAGAUCUUUACAGGGCUGUCUCUUUAUCCCUCAAGGCUUUGGCCAAAGAGACUUUGCUUGAUCAUUCCAAUUAAAACUUGUAACAAUCUCCUUUCCACAGCUGAUGACAAAAUCAGCCUAUUCGUAAUGAAAACAAAUACGUAUCUAAUAUUCUAAAAGUUAAAAACUCAGUGAAUAAAAAUAUCCUUCAUGUUUUGCCCCCUUGAGGUCCUACUCCCCUGAAGGACGACCAGGAACACUGUGACCUCCCUCCUUUCUUCUUAAAUUGUGUCUAAAUCUUUUUUCAGUGGAUAUUUUAUCUUAUCUGAAAUGAUUCCUCAUUUUUUAAAACCUUUUUCCAUGAAACGUUAAUGCUUUUCAAUAUGUAUUUAUUAUGCUGUGUGUAUAUGUAAAUAUAUGUUUCCCCAUGAACAAUGUGUGGGAAAGUUAAUAAAUACAUAUGUAUUUCCAUCAAAAAAUCAGGAACAUGCUCUCUCA
ensembl:lncRNA